rnacentral:snRNA from 1 species
AUACUUACCUGGCAGGGGAGAUACCAUGAUCACGAAGGUGGUUUUCCCAGGGCGAGGCUUACCCAUUGCACUUUGGAUGUGAUGACCCCUGCCAUUUCCCCAAAUGUGGGCAACUCGACUGCAUGAUUUGUGGUAGUGGGGGACUGCGUUCACACUCUCCCCUA